AUUCCGUGAAUCAUCGAGUUUUUGAACGCAAGUUGCGCCCGAGGCUCGUCUGAGGGCAUGCCUGCCUGAGCGUCCCU
rnacentral:rRNA from 1 species